GUUCUCGCCCUUCGCCCGGAGCCACGUGACCUCCUAUAGUUCGACUCCAGGCGAGCGGCAUCGAGUUACCGUAAUUCUCCGAAAGGACAUCCAUUAAAGACAUGACUCGAUGUUACUGUAAUUAUGGUAAUAUAAGUGCUAAUAUAGAGCUAUGGCAGUUAAAGUGGUAUCAAGCUGCAUUAACACAACAGUGUAGAUGCAGUCUGAAGGUGCAUCCACACUGUAGAAUUAACGUCAGUUGAUACUACUUUAACUGUCUUGUCUCAAGGCUAAUGGAUCCUGGGAUUUAUAGUUCAGUGAGGCACUUAUUGUAAAACAGUAACUCCCUUAAUUUCAUAGCAUUAAGCCUUGACAGUUCAAGUGGUAUCAAACUGCAUUAACUCAAUAGUGUAGAUACAUCCUCUAAGGGAAUUCUAGUCAUCGUGUCCCUUCUAAAGACUCACUUCUGGACCCAUUUUUGGUGGAAAUUCUGGCGAUUUAAUAUCUGUGCUGUAGUUGGGAAGAGGAUGCCAAACUUGCGUUAAUGCAGCUGAACAAUUCUUACCAGAGACAUUGUCAUCAUUAGCUUUGCUUAUUCCUUGUGUUCGCCAAGAAACUUGGACUCAAGGCCGCUUAUGAAUCAAAAUAAUUGCACUGCAGUUAAAAGAAUUAAAAGCUCUAAAUUAAAACAGUGUUGGAUGCGGAAACAACUUAAAACAGACCCUUAACAAUAUCACAAGUCUGUUAAUAAAGUAGAAUUUAGGAGCUGGAAUGUAGUUGUGUAGUUUUUGUAAAAACAUAUAAGCCAAAAAAGUGUGUGUUUGUUCUAUAGGUUUUUUGUGUGCAUAAAAUUACAUUUAUUUAAAUAUUUAAUUUAAUGUAAAUACAUUUAAUAAAACAUAGUGCCCUAUUAAAAAAACCCUUUAAAUUACAUAUAUACAAUGUGUGUGUGUGUAUGUAUAUAUAUCUAUAUAGUAGAAUAUACGUAAUAAUAAUAAUAAUAAUAAUAAUAAUAAUAUACUUUAUUUAUAUUCCACUCUAUCUCCCCGAGGGGACUCAGAGUGGAUUACAGGUACAUAUAUAGCAAACAUUCAAUGCUGUUAUAGAAUUGACAAAGACAGACAGUAAACAGAGGUAACUAUGCCGUCACACCCGGGCAUCUAUGAUAAAUUAAGAUGUGCUUUUUUCUUUGCCAGGUGAACUGCGGGGGUUAGAAGUUCAGGAAUCCCAGUAACCAAGGCCACUUCAAGCUGAACAUCAAACAAGAUUUUUAUUUUCUCAAAGUCCUUGACAGACUUGGCACACGUAGUUAAGAAAUCAGCUGGGAAUGGGGAAACUGAAAGGUGAAGGACAGAUGAGGAGGAGGGGAAAAAAUAGCAGCAGCAGGAACAGAUGGAGAUGUAACAGAGCCUUGAAAUAAAUCUUGGCUCUGUAAUCCACAUCCAACAAAUUUGCCAUGGGUGAGUUGCUGUGAGUUUUCCAAACUCUGGCCAUCUUCCAGAAGCAUUCUCUCCUGACAUUUCACCCACAUCUAUGGCAGGCAUCCUCAGAGGUUGUGUGGUCUGUUGGAAACUAGG